rnacentral:lncRNA from 1 species
GCACUUUAGUAUCUUGUAAUUUGAAUUGUUUCAAUUUAGUACACGUGGUUUUAUUUUUCUCUUUUCGUUAGCUCCUCUUUUAACAUUUCGUUAAAUUAUAUACAAAAAAUUUCGGACACUCUACCUAAAUUUAUUGAAUAUUCACUUUAAUACUUUUAGUUUUAAUUUUGUUACUGAUUUAACAAAAAAAAUAGUAGAGUGGGAUAAUAAAAACAGAAAAAUAAAAUCGCAGGUACUAAAUUAAUACACUUUAAAUUACAUGAUACUAAAAUUAUCGUAAUUCAAAAAUAAUAUUUAAUUAACUAACUUACUUUAUCAUCUCAUGAUUCAAAAGUUUAUAUCUUAUUAUUCUGUAAUUAUAUUUUUAUUUUAUUAUAAAAAAUUAUUAUUAAAUACGGUACUGUCCGAUAGCUUUAAAAUUUUAUUUCUUUACGACCCUAUUUAACCGUGAAUUUUUUUUGUUGGCAUAAGUAGAGAUGCGCUAAGAAUCCAAAAAGAAAUUAGCAGAUGAACUUUACGCAGAAGUUUUUUGUUCACCAGAUUGCUAGAAACUUGCAUAUUGCGGGUAAAUUAUACGAUAAAGUUAGAAUAUUUUUAGGAGUAAAUGGGACUAUGCUGAUAAUAAGUUCAGAUAAACGAUCAGCUUCAAAUAAAAUGAUUUUAUAUUAAGGGUUGUUCCCAUCAAAUUUUAAUUCAUUAACGCUGAUUAUUUAUAGAAUAUAUUUAUCUCAUUUAUGUAAUUAUAAUGCGUUGAAUAAAAUAACUAUGCACUCAAUUUAUUUUUAUUAAGUUUUGUGUCUAAAUUUGGUGAUUAUUAAAAAAUUUUAGAGUGGCAAAAUAUAGAAUCCAAAUUAAAGCAAAAUUUAUUAUAGUAGGAUAAUUGAGAGGUAUUUUGUAAUUGAGAAUUAGGUUUUUUUUUCUUUUUUGUAAUUUGUAAUUGUAAUCGAGAGCGCGAUAAUCUGGACCGAUCGGUGGGACCCACAUAAGGAGUAAAAAAAAAUAAACUUUAAAUACCACCCUCGUAGUUUCGAACUUUUUUAUUUUAGUGCCCUAUGGUUUAAAAUAUAUCAAGUUAGUGUCCUAUGGUUUUAUUUUUAUUUUUUCGUCAGUUUUUUUGUAAAGAUUUUUUAAAUUAUAAACAAAAAACAUCAAAUACUCCAUCUCGAUUUAUCGAAUGUUCAUUUUAGUACCAUUUUAUUUUAACUUUGUCACCGAUUUAAUAAAAAAAUUAGUGAAAUUGAUAAGAAAAAAAUAAAAAUAAAACCACAGGACACUAAAUUGAUACACUUUAAAUUAUAUGAUACUAAAGUAAAGUAAGAAAGUGUAAAAUCAUCGGGUGGUAUUUGAAAUUUUCCCAAAAACCCC